rnacentral:rRNA from 1 species
CGCGUAGGCGGCCGUUUAAGUCUGGAGUGAAAUUCCCGUUUUUAAGGUGGGAACUGCUUUGGAAACUGGACGGCUUGAGUGCAGGAGAGGUUAUCGGAAUUCCCGGUGUAGCGGUGAAAUGCGUAGAGAUCGGGAGGAACACCAGUGGCGAAGGCGGGUAACUGGACUGCAACUGACGCUGAGGCGCGAAAGUGUGGGGAGCAAACA